rnacentral:tRNA from 1 species
UAGCUCAGUUGAUCAGAGGGAGAGAUUCUUAAUCCUUAGGUCGUGGGUCUGAUUCCAUCA